AUGUUAUUAGCACAUAUUUCUGAAAUUUGGAACAAUAUAGAGAAAAUUAGCAUGGCCUCUGUGCAAGGAUGAUGAAUGUACUAAUCACCAUACAUUUUAUUUUU